rnacentral:rRNA from 1 species
GGGUUGUGAGGUUAAGCGACUAAGCGUACACGGUGGAUGCCCUGGCAGUCAGAGGCGAUGAAGGGCGUGCUAAUCUGCGAUAAGCGCCGGUAAGGUGAUAUGAACCGUUAUAACCGGCGAUACCCGAAUGGGGAAACCCAGUGUGACUCGUCACACUAUCAUUAACUGAAUCC